ensembl:lncRNA LINC02805 long intergenic non-protein coding RNA 2805
GGGCUGGAUGGAAAACUCUUUCCAGACAGACUCCGGGGCCCUCAACUGGUCUCCGACCUUCCCCUGCAACCUGCGACACCUGCCAUUUUCCCAUCUUAGGCUCCAGAAGCAGAAUCAAGUGGGAUGUCUUGGAAGAAAAACAAACAAAAGGCCCACUAGGUGGAGUGAAAUGGAUCAGGAGCAAUUAUGUUCAAUUUCACCUUUAAGUUUUCUCAAAAGGAGGAGCAUUAAGAAUCAGCCACCUUAGUACAUACUUAAAGGAGAAGAUAGUCAUUGGACAAAAGGUGGGUCAUUCUCACGUUGACCAAGUUUCUGUUCCAGUAUCACCCUCCCAGUCCACAGGUCGAGAGGAACCAUACUUGAAGAAACAUACCUGAAGGGUUUCAUCCAUAUGUGGGCCUGAUUUGGAUGAUAAAAUCCUGCAUCUUGAGCCUGAUCUUGAUGCUGCCUGUGUUCUGAUGCCAUCAGGAGUUGAGAGUCUAGGGGUUUUAGAAAGGGUGAAUGUAUUUUCCCAUAGGCAAGGAACAUAAUCAAUGGCCAAAAUGUGCACUGUGACAGAUUAAAGGUUGCUACAAAUUCUCUGAUACCCUUCCAUUAAGAGGUAGGGCAGAUAUUCCCUCCCCUCAAAUCUGGGUGGGCUCCAUGACUUGCUUUGAUCAACAGAAAACGGCAGCAGUGAUGCUGGGCCAGUUGUUGGAUCCAGGCCUUAAGAACCAACAACUUCCACUUAAGUUCUCUUGGAACACUGAGUCCCUGACUACCCUAAUAUCAUGUUGGAAAGGCUACAUGUAGGCACUCUAGUUGCCAGUCCCAGCCAAGACCAGCUUUUCAGCCAUCCCCAUCACUAAAUUUGUAAAUGAAGCCAUCUGGAAUCUCCAGACCAGCUCAUUUGGCAGCUGGGUAUCAUCAAGUUAUCUCUGCUGACUCCACAUGGAACAAAGGAAUCACCCAGCUGAGCCCUAUUCAAACUAUUGACCAAAAAAAUAGUGAGACAUAAUAAAAUGAUGUUUUAAGCCAGUAA